CGGGGAGGUAUUUUGCCUCCAUCGACUUGUGCGGACAUGUCACCGCGCACGCAGACACACACCUGUGGAGCGGGCAAGGCUUGAGUCUGGGCCUCCUGACCCAGAGACACUAACUGGGGAGCCUGAUCCCAGGCCUUGCCAGACUGGAAGUCAAAAUGGUUCACACUGACGUUCUCCCCUACUGUGAUGCUGCCUGACUUGCAGAAUUUGAAGAUUUUCAACACCGAUGAAUAUUUCGCUUUUGCAAAUACAAUGGCAUUUUACUGCAGUUUUUUUUUUUGUCUUGCACUCAUCAGGACAAUUCAGAAGAAACACCAAUAUACAAAGGAAAACAACAUUUACAUUGUACGAUAAGAGUUCUAAUUGGUUGAUAAGCGGACUUUGAUUGAUAGUGUUGUUAUUAAGGAUGCACGAAAUACAGACAGACAGUGACUACACAUAACUGUCGAGAUUUAAGUUUUAAUCCAAACAGAUCAACUCCAAUUUUUCCACAGCAUUGCUCUAAAUGAGUCAAUCAUCCAAAAAAAAAUCUCCCUCUCACAGAAUAUAAAAUGUUGUUAUUUCUUUACAUUGGUAUUUCUUGCAAGUUGCUUUGACGUGUGCAUUAUGUAAACCUUCAACAAAGUUUAUCAUUUUUCAAAAAUGCACAACAUCUCUAUUACCAAACAACUGUUUUGCUUUUGUUCUCUGUACAUGGUUUGGUGUCUGAAAAUACAAGCAGCACAAGCCAGAAAUCUCCGGCAAUUUCACAUUUAUGACUUUUGUUUCAACUUUGCAACCUCAAAAAAAAAAUCAAUCAAUCUGUGGCAAUUUAAUCCUAUGUUAGUUAAUAACCGAACCCAAACUUCCACUUCUGCUAAUCUAGGAUGCUUCAAGGGGCGGUGUGGACUUGUUGGGCUGAAGGGCUUGUUUGCACACUGUAGGGAAUCUAAUCUAAUCAAUCAAUACGAAACUACAGUUCUGUUACUGGGCAUUAGUGAACAAGACAGAGAAGCAGAAAAGACCAAGUAUCUGGGGAAAUCUGAAUCAGAAGUAUUUAGCUGAAUAACACAACAAUAAAUCACUUUUAUUCAA